CAAAUGUGUCUAACUCUACAAAUGAGUUUUUGCUCCUAGCUGCUGACAAGUACGCCUGACAGUCUGAGAUAGUGAAAGUGCAAGUCAUCGAACAAAAAGCUGUGUGGAGAGCAGCAGAGAAAAUGCAUUUGAAGAAAAGGGAAACUGCUUAAAGCCUAUCUUUUUAAGAGACCAAGUUCCCUGGUCAAAACUGCAAUAAGCAAGACAAAAUAAAACAUUCCACACUGGGGGGAAAGUGCAGGAAAUGUAAGAAUAGAAGACAGCAGGAGAGUAUCUGUUCAAGAAACGACAUAUGCAAAGGUCUACAGUCACUUGAGCACUGCAAGGUGGAAGGAAGACAGGGAGCGUGCAGAGAACCUACCUCAGAAGCGCCUGGAAAAGACAGGCAUGCAGGCAAAACUAGGAAAGCGUGAGGCAGAAGGCAGCACAUCUGCAGGGGAAACCGUUGACGCUGUUUUCUCUGGUAGCCUAUCAACCUGGUCCCGGCCAGUCAUUUGUCAAGAGCACUAACAGAUUCCUAAUUUCCUCUUGCUUUCUGAGAAGCAAGCACCUCAUUCUUCCUAUGCUAUUUCAUCAUACGGCCCUACCAACAGAUUUUUAUGAUUCUGUCUACAGAAAUACAUGCCUGUCCUGCACUGUG